rnacentral:rRNA from 1 species
CCGACGGUGAGGGACGAAAGCUGGGGGAGCAAACCGGAUUAGAUACCCGGGUAGUCCCAGCUGUAAACGAUGCGCGUUAGGUGUAUCGGUGACCACGAGUCACCGAGGUGCCGAAGAGAAAUCGUGAAACGUACCGCCUGGGAAGUACGGUCGCAAGGCUGAAACUUAAAGGAAUUGGCGGGGGAGCACCACAACAGGUGGAGCCUGCGGUUUAAUCGGACUCAACGCCGGGAAACUCACCAGAUAA